UAACCAUAUCGCCUUGAAAUAUCGGUUCUCGUACGAUCAUUGAAGAUAAGCAAAGUCGAGCUUGGUCAUUACUUAGAUGGGUGACUAUUUGGAAAUGCCAGGUGCAGCAAG